rnacentral:tRNA from 1 species
GUGGUGCAAACGGCUAGCACACUUGGCUGCUAACCAAAAGGUUGGUGGUUUGAGUCUACCC